GAGUGCGCGCAAGCGCAACGACGCGCAACGCUGCGCUGUUCUGUGUUGCGCAGUCGCCACGGCGACCGUCAAGGACGUUCGCGCUCGGUGCGCCGCACCAAGCAUCCGACAGAGACAGAGAGCAACAGUUAGGAAUUACUCGAAUAGUUCGGGAUAUUUGUGUAAAAAUAAUUAUAUACUCGGUUGCAUUCUUUUUCGUCGAAAUAAUUCGAAAAGCUAGCCGAACGAUCCGACGUUUCCUCGUAAAAUGGUAAAUAGUUUCCAAGUAUAUGUGUAUUAUGUAAAACAGCCAAUGAGGUAAUUGAUCGACCGUAUGUUAGAGAAAUAGCGAUCGAAAUGAUCGAUACGUGUCUUCGAUUUCAUCAAAGGUAUGUAUUUCGAAAGUGACAGCACGUAUGGCGGAAAUUGUUGGGGUUAAUUGAUUCGAUUUUAAGCGAGUUUCGUGGGUUUGAUCUGAGCGUUGAAAGGUAAGGAUGGUAUGCUUUUAGGGAUAUUACGUAAACAUCUGGGAAAGAAGCGGUGUGACUAUGUUUUAGGAAGUAGAUAGCUGUGAAAGUUUUAGACCUUUCCCUGGGUUAUGUCCAUAGUGAUCGAUGUCGUUACAUCUGCCUAUGCGAAUAUACUCCGCAAUGUGUAAUAUACCGAUGUUAUAAGUUAAUAAGUCGCGUUAUUCGCGGUAUCUGCAAUGAAACAAAAACUUGUAGUAUCUCUUGGAAACAACUGUUAACCUUUCACAAGUUCCUAACCUUAAAUACCCUUCACGCGUUCUAUUAAAAAAUUCUCAAUAUGGUUUCUUGAUAGAGCAACAACACCAAAAAGGAGGGAUAUAAAAAUCGACGCGUAGGAGAGAGAGGAUGUGGCCAGAAUACUACAAGUGUAUACACGAGCGACAAAGAGAGCAAGUAUUAUCGAAUAAGCGGGUGUAAGAGAGAAACGAAGAGACAGAGAAAGCGAGGGUUGCCGGACAGAGACUAGACGCUAGGCCAGCGACUGAGAGAACGAGUAACGAGCGAGAUGGCGAAUGGUCGUACGUAGGUUAAAAGAAGACAGAUAGAGAGUGAAAGAGUGCCUUCUGUCUGCCGCACCCGCGAAUCGACGAAUUCGAGCCACUCGAUCGGCCUCGAGCGGCCUUGGAUGUAUCGCGGCCGGAGUGCAGGGCGGAGCGAGAUUGCUGUUCGCUUUCCAGGGUAUUUCCAUGGUACCUCUUGGAACAAGUUUCCAUCUCUUAACCAAAUGAGUCGAGCGUUUUCGCCAAUGAACGAUUGCCUCCCUCGCAUAUGAUGUGGUUUUGACGUUGAUUUUGGAAAACAUGGAAAAUACAGAAGAAAAUAUGGAAAGUGAUAUCUGAAACCCGUAGAUGCGGUGAAGGAUGCUCGGUGCUCGGCGGCCUUGAGGAAUUAAUUGAUUUUGGCCAGACCUAUAGCUUCUUCAACUUGAACGUACUAAAUUAACAAUAUAUUGCGCUGUAAACGUCAAAUUAAAAAUAUCCUAUAAAAAUGCAAAAAUACGUUUUAAUCCUUUUUCUCCUCUUUUUUAGACGAAGUUAACAAACGAGUAACAUUAUCAUUUUAAUUUUUCAGCAACUCAUUAAACUGUAAACGAACGUUCUAUGAAUAUGUAAAAGUACAUCG